ACGUGGGGUCCAAGCGUUGUUCGGAAUUACUGGGCGUAAAGGGCGCGUAGGUGGUUUGGUAAGUCAGACGUGAAAGCCCACGGCUCAACCGUGGAAGUGCGUUUGAUACUGCCUGACUUGAGUCCUGGAGAGGGUUGUGGAAUUCCUGGUGUAGAGGUGAAAUUCGUAGAUAUCAGGAGGAACACCUGUGGCGAAGGCGACAACCUGGACAGUGACUGACACUGAGGCGCGAAAGCGUGGGGAGCAAACAG
rnacentral:rRNA from 1 species